rnacentral:lncRNA from 1 species
AAAUAGAAAAAACCACAUCAUUUUGUGAAUAUAUAUAUAAUCAUGAAUCACAAUAAACAUAAUGUACAUGUUGCAAAAGGUAUGGCAACCAAUUGUUUAAAUGUUAUGCAGAAUUUAGUGCACAAUUUUUGCUGUAGGAUAGAAUGCAUAUAUACAGUGUAAUAUGCCAGAAGCUUAACAGUCCAAAUUUAGGACCCUCUUGCGUCUAGAUGAAGUUGUCUUGAAGAUUGUUUCAAUUCAUUUUCUGCCUUUUCUACUACAGUAUGUUCCUUUCAAAUAAUGAAUAAAAAAGUCAACAUAUUAUCGUGUCAUGACAUCAACAAAUUCUGAUUGUUGAAUUAAAAGAUACUCCGCUUGAGAUAUGCUCUGGUUGAGAAAGGCAACAGGUCAGCACUCUCACUCAAAGUUAGCCCAGUGAUGGUCCUAUGUAACACUACUAGCCGUCCAUUGAGUAAUUACUACUGCCAAUGCCGAAUAGCAACAUCCUCAGAUCACAAAAUGUGUUGAAAGGUUGACCAAAUCAAAUUGAUUUGGUUUUCCUUAUAUAUUUAGGUGUAUAUUUGGUGUAAAUAUAGAGUUAUUGCUUCCUAGAAAUUAGUGUGUAAUAUUCUGCUUUAAUUUUUUCUUUCCUUUCUUAGUCUCUUGUAUCCCUAUAUUAAGAUUGUGUACAGUCUCAUGAAGAUAUGAAAAAGAGAAUUAUUCCAUAAACUUUUUCUCUACCUAUUUUCACAUGGUAUCAGAGCUAGGCUCCCUUUCUUUCUGAUCUCUUCCCUACCAUGUCUGACCAAUCUUCUGAAACCACAGUCACCUCAAAAAGACUAGAACCAAAAAUUUCCCAUUCUGAAUCUCAUUCUGUCCAGAUUACAACUAUCCGGCUGAAUGAAGGAAAUUUUCAAAGAUGGUCUCAAUCGGUUAGAAUGUAUAUUAGAGGAAGAGGGAAGAUUGGUUAUCUUACCGGAGAUGUUAAGGCUCCUGAAAUAUCUUAUCCCUCUUAUGGUGUUUGGGAUGCCGAAAACUCCAUGAUUAUGGCAUGGUUAGUCAACUCCAUGGAUGAAGACAUUGGUGCAAAUUAUAUGUGCUACUCUACUGCAAAAGAACUCUGGGAUAAUGUGAGACAGAUGUACUCUGACUAUGGAAAUCAGUCCCAGAUCUAUGAGUUGCAGCUUGCUCUUGGAGAUAUCCAUCAAGGAGAUUAUAGUAUAACAAAAUACUUCAAUACUCUAAAGAGAUUGUGGCAAGAUCUGGACUUAUUCAAUGACUACGAGUGGAAGAGCACGGAAGAUUUUAAACACCACAAACAAACUGUCAAUAAUGAACGAAUCUUCAAGUUCCUGGCUGGGCUCAAUGUUGAAUUUGAUGAGGUAAGAGGAAGAAUUAUUGGGAGAAAGCCACUUCCUACUCUUGAGGAUGUUUUCUCUGAAGUAAGGAGAGAAGAAAGUCAUCGAGGUGUUAUGUUGGGAAAAAAGAACUCCAUUGUCUCUGUGGAAAAAUCUGCCCUUGUUACAGCAUAUGCUAAUGCUACCCGGUCCACGGUCCAUCACUCAACAGCAACAAAAACCUCGAGUAUGGUAUGAUUACUGUAAUAAACCACGCCAUACUCGGGAGGCUUGCUGGAAACUCCACGGAAAGCCUGCAGACUGGAAAAACAGCAAGCAUAGCCGUGCGUCUGCCAAUGAACUGGAGAAUCUGGAAAAAAAUCUCAGCAAGGAGCAAAUUGACCAUCUCAUAAAGCUGCUGACUUCUAAUCCUCCACCUAGUACUCCUAGCCAUUCACCAGCCCAAACAGGUAGUAUUAUUAAUGCUCUAUUUAGCCACUCAACUACUGCACCAUGGAUUAUUGAUUCGGGUGCUUCUGAUCAUAUGAUUAGCAUUUCUAGUUUAUUUGAUUCCUAUUAUCCUUGCCCUGGUAACAAAAAGGUAAGAGUUGCUGAUGGAAGCUUAUCUUUCAUAGCUGGAAAAUGAUCAAUAAAAAUCUCCGGAACCAUUGAGCUAAAAAAUUUGCUACAUGCCCCUAAACUUUGUGCAAUCUGUUAUCUGUCAGUAAAUUAACCAAAGAUUCUAAUUGUUGUGCUGUCUUUUUUGACUCCCAUUGUGAAUUUCAGGACAGGGACUUGGGGACGAUGAUUGGCAAUGCUAGUUUGCGAGAAGGUCUUUACUAUUUUGAUGACUACUUAUCAAGGAAUAAACAAGCUCAAGGUUUGAGCAGUAGUAUUAGUUCAAACUCUACUUGGGAUCAAAUAAUGCUUUGGCACCUUAGACUAGGACACCCUAGCUUUCCUUAUUUGAAAUAUCUGUUUCCAGAUUUAUUUAAAAAUGUUGAUUGUACUACUUUUCAGUGUGAAAGUUAUUUUGAUUGUACUACUUUUCAGUGUGAAAGUUGUUUUUUAUCUAAAAGUCAUCGAGUUUCAUAUAAAGUACUUACUUAUCGUGCCUCAAAACCUUUUUAUUUAAUUCAUAGUAUUGUUUGGGGACCCUCAAAAAUCAAUACUUUAACUGGAAAAAAAUGAUUUGUAACAUUCAUUGAUGAUCAUACUCGGCUUUGUUGGGUUUAUUUAAUGAGAGAAAAAUCUGAAGUUGAGGGGUUAUUCAAAGAUUUUUAUAACAUGGUUGAAAAUCAAUUUCAAACAAAAAUAAGCCUACUCUAUACAGAUAAUGGUACUGAAUAUUUUAAUAAUUAUCUAGAGGUGUUUUGUAAGGAAAAGGCUAUAAUUCACACAUCCACUUGUCAUGAUACUCCACAACAAAAUGGAAUUGCGGAACGAAAAAACCGCCAUUUACUUGAAGUUAGUUGGGCUAUCAUGCUCUCUAUGCAUGUUCCUAAAUAUUUGUGGGGUGAUGUUGUUUUAACAGCAUGUUAUUUGAUUAAUAGGAUGCCUACCCGUGUUUUAAAGUAUCAAUCACCUUUAGAAUACUUCACACUUAUAUAUCAUUCUAGUAGGAUAACCUUCAAUAUUCAGUUAAGAGUCUUUGGGUGCACUGUUUUUGUUUAUGUUCCUAACCAUCGUAGAUCUAAAUUGGAUCCUAGAUCCGAAAAAUGUGUUUUCUUGGGCUAUGCUCCUAAUAAAGAAGGCUACAAAUGUUUCAAUCCUCAAACAAAGAAAUUCCAUGUCAGUAUGGAUGUUAUAUUUCUCGAAAAUCAACCAUGUUUUUGGCCAAAAUUCUCUUCAGGGGGAGAAAGAAAAUAGCGAAGAUCAUUUUUGGCAUACUUCUACACCUAUGCCUAAUCUGUUUUUACCUGAUCUGAGCACUUUAACUCAAACUCAAAAAACUGAUAUUUCUAAUAAUGAAAACUUAGGAAACCUUGAACUAUAGGAACCAAGUGUUAAUGUACCAGAGACAGGGGGAGAAAUACUACAAUAUAAAAUUCCACCACCAGAGCUUCGUGUUUAUACUCGACAAAGGUAUCAUCACAGCAGUAAAGACCCUCCCAUAAACUCGGUACAACCUCAAUUGUCGCCUCCAAGCACUGAUUCCUCAGAAAAUUCAGGUAACAUUUCUUUUCCUAAACAUAGCACAUAGGAAAGGAACCCGAACCUGUACUAAGCACCCCAUUGCUAAAUAUGUUUCGUAUGAAAAGUUGUCCAAUAAACAAAGAGCCUUUACCACAAAAAUCUCUCAUAUACCAAUUCCUAAAACCAUAAAAGAAGCCUUAGACCACCCAGAUUGGAAGUUAGAGUUUUAGAGGAAAUGAAUGCUUAAAGAAGAAUGGUACGUGGGAGAUUGUGGAUUUACCAAAAGAAAAGAAAACUGUGGGUUGUAAGUGGGUGUUUACAGUUAAAUGUAAUGCUUGGGAGUGUUGAGAGAUAUAAGGCAAGGCUUGUAGCAAAAGGGUUCACUCAAACCUAUGAAAUUGAUUAUCAAGAAAUCUUUGCCCCCGUUGCAACGAUAAAUUCUAUCCGGGUCCUUAUCUCAUUGGCUGUACAUUCUGAUUGGAAUCAACACCAAUUAGAUGUUAAAAAUGCUUUUCUGAAUGGGGAGCUAGAAGAAGAAGUCUUUAUGGAUUUACCACCGAGGGAAAUCAUGGCAGCAGUAAAGUGUGUAAACUACAAAAGUCUUUGUAUGGGCUCAAACAGUCUCCUAGAGCAUGGUUUGAACGCUUUGGUAAUGUUGUAACGGGACACGGCUACUCCCAAAGUCAGGCAGAUCAUACAAUGUUUUACAAACAUUCUAUUGAAGGGAAAUUAGCCGUGUUAAUUGUAUAUGUAGAUGAUAUAAUUUUGACCGGUGAUGACUUAGUUGAGAUUUGCAGAUUAAAGAAAGUGCUUGCACGUGACUUUGAAAUCAAAGACUUAGGCAACCUGAAAUAUUUUUUGGGCAUGGAGUUUGCUAGAUCAAAAGAUGGGAUUGUUGUGUCUCAACGCAAGUAUGUUCUUGAUUUGCUUGAAGAGUCAGGUCUACUCGGAUGUAAAGCAGCUGAGACACCCAUAGAUCCUAAUAUGAAAUUACAGCCAGCUAAAAUUGAAGAUGUGACCAACAUAGAUCGGUACCAACGCCUUGUAGGUAGAUUAAUCUACUUUUCACAUACACGCCCAGACAUAACCUUUACAGUGAGCUUAGUCAGCCAGUUUAUGCAUGCUCCAGGACCAGAACACUUUGAAACUGUAUACAGAAUCCUUAGAUACUUAAAAGGAUCUCCGGUUAAAGGUCUUUUGUUUAGAAAAAACGGGCACCUACAAGUAGAAGUCUACACAGAUGCUGACUGGGCUGGUAGUGUAACCGAUAGAAGAUCCACUUUUGGUUACUGCACCUUUGUUGGAGGAAAUUUGGUCACUUGGCGCAACAAGAAACAAAUUGUGGUAGCAAGAAGUAGUGCAGAGGCAGAAUAUAGAGCAGUAGCUCUAGGAAUUUGUGAGGUUCUUUGGAUCAAAAAAAUUCUUGAAGAAGUUAAGGCAAGUAAUUCUCUACCUAUGAAAGUAUAUUGUGACAACAAAUCUGCCAUUGCAAUAGCACAUAAUCCAGUACUCCACGACCGAACUAAACAUGUUGAAGUGGACAAACACUUCAUAAAAGAAAAAUUGGACAGUGGUUUGAUUUGCAUGCCCUACAUUCCUACAGAUGAGCAGAUUGCUGAUAUACUCACCAAGGGACUACCUAGGAAACAUUUCGAGAAAUUGGUUUGCAAGCUGGCCAUGAAAGACAUUUUUAGACCAGCUUGAGGGGGAGUGUUGAAAGGUUGACCAAAUCAAAUUGAUUUGGUUUUCCUUAUAUAUUUAGGUGUAUAUUUGGUGUAAAUAUAGAGUUAUUGCUUCCUAGAAAUCAGUGUGUAAUAUUCUGCUUUAAUUUUUUCUUUCCUUUCUUAGUCUCUUGUAUCCCUAUAUUAAGACUAUGUACAGUCUCAUGAAGAUAUGAAAAAGAGAAUUAUUCCAUAAACUUUCUCUCUACCUAUUUUCACAAAAUGUAAAGAAUUGGAAGGUACCUU